rnacentral:rRNA from 1 species
UAGGGAAUCUUCCACAAUGGACGCAAGCCUGAUGGAGCAACGCCGCGUGAGUGAAGAAGGUUUUCGGAUCGUAAAGCUCUGUUGUUGGUGAAGAAGGAUAGAGGUAGUAACUGGCCUUUAUUUUANGGUAAUCAACCAGAAAGUCACGGCUAACUACGUGCCAGCAGCCGCGGUAAUACGUAGGUGGCAAGCGUUGUCCGGAUUUAUUGGGCGUAAAGCGAGCGCAGGCGGAAAAAUAAGUCUAAUGUGAAGGCCCUCGGCUUAACCGAGGAACUGCAUCGGAAACUGUUUUUCUUGAGUGCAGAAGAGGAGAGUGGAACUCCAUGUGUAGCGGUGGAAUGCGUAGAUAUAUGGAAGAACACCAGUGGCGAAGGCGGGCUCUCUGGUCUGCAACUGACGCUGAGGCUCGAAAGCAUGGGUAGCGAACAGGAUUAGAUACCCUGGUAGUCCAUGCCGUAAACGAUGAGUGCUAAGUGUUGGGAGGUUUCCGCCUCUCAGUGCUGCAGCUAACGCAUUAAGCACUCCGCCUGGGGAGUACGGCCGCAAGGUUG